ACUAGUCAAUACAGUAGUCACUUCUAUUUUUCCCUUCAGAUAGAAUCACAAUUUAUUACACAUAAUGUAAGAGUUAGGAGUUGCUUCCAAACUCUGUCUUAUCUAUCUUAAAUCCAUUUAUCUGAUUUAUCUGAUUUUUCCUUGAGAUCAGAUUGUCUAAUGAAGUUUUAGCCAAGUAAAUACAGGAGAGUCUGCUUUAAACGUGGUUUAUUACAAAUAAAUAAAAUCAGCCUUUCAACAGAAGCAGUCUGGCACACCUACUCAUCAGUUAUCACUGAUUCUGAUGGUUCAGCUUGCAUUUUUAGACCUGAUUUGUUUAUUCUUUUACAUUAAUCAGAUGAAGAUAAAAGUGAUCAAAGAAGUCAGGAAGCAGAAACCAUUUCAUCUCAAAACUUGGAGGACAUUAAUGAUGAAGAUGCAGCUGUGCAGAAAGAUGGAGCAAUCACUAUUUCCCAUACUAAACUGCCUUUAGAUGAUGUCAUACACACAGAUUUUCAUGCCUCAGCAACAUCCCUCCUUGAGGUUGAAGAAAAAGAUACUUUUCAUCCAAUAUAUAAAGGAGCUUCAAAUGCUUUCUGUAUUCGUCUAUUUUGUAUUGAUGAGAAGUAUGAAACUAGAUCACUGGAUUUUUUGCAUUAUGUUUUCAAGCUUUUUCCAGUACGUAUACCUUAAAGUUUUAAAGUUUGCUUGCAUGUUUAUGCUUGGAGGGACAAUAAUGCAGCUGACAACAAUAGUAUAUACAUGAGGUGCCUGAGUAAGUCAGUGACUCGCAGGAGUACACUAUGGAUUGCUAUCCUGUGCUGAGUUACCCUGAGGACUCUGACUUCUCUUCUUGGCUGCUUUUGGGCUUUAUGUAUUGUGUACAUAAGUUCUUUGUUUAUGUUUCGUAGACAUGUUUCAUAGCCGUUUAUUUUUGUUUUUUUAGUGUCUAGGAAAUGACACUAUUAAUGAAAUCUGUAGUAUUUGCCUAUAUCCUAAACCAGGAAUUUAUAUUAAAGAUAAUGUGAGGCAAAGAAGAUUGUGAAUUUACAGUGAAGUAGCUAUUUCACAUUAACUCUCUGUGUAAUCAAUCUAUAUCCAAGGCAACAAACUAUAUUUUCUAAGAUAUCCUUAAUGCAUGCCGUAGUAUUGUAAAUUCCCACUAGAAAUUAAUGCAUAGUAGCAUCCUUUAGAGACAGCUUACCACUGAUGCAGAAGUGGCCCUAACUAUCAGCAUGUUCAAAAAUGCUUCUCACUUUCAAAGAAAGUUCCCAAAGAAAGUGAACACAGAAAAAGAUCUCUACAUCUGUAGUUUCUCGAAACAAAAUGUCACAAUAAAGUCACCAGAGGUAGUAAGAAAAAUUAACCACAUGAUAUCCUUAAAUUGUCUUCAAAUACAGUGUGUGUUUGUGAUAUGUAUGUAUUUUGUAACAUAUAUGUACCAGAAAUGGCAAAUUCAGGACAAGCUGGACAUCAAAGUAUACAUACAAACUUGCACCACAUAAAACUGAUAAAUGCAAGGUCAAUCUGUGCUUGCAUGCUGACUAUUUGUUGAGGAUUUUAGGGCAUGCUGCUCUCGUUGAUGGUCUCACUUAGCUGCAAAUGUGCAAAAGAUCCCAGAGAGACAUACAUUGCCUUAAAAUUCCAGUGCAACAGAAUUACAGGGUAGAAAAAGAACCUAUAAAGGAAAAUAGGUUAUCUCUAAAGGUCUGGAUAUGCGGAGUAAUGUUUCUACUGAGGAAGAAAUGAAAAAUGGGGAGAAGAAGGACCUUUAGGGAAUGUCAGGAUAAGACCUUACUACUGGAGCUAGAAGACUCAUUUCUGUAAGCUGAGUUAAUAUUGGGCUUAUCAGUUCCUUUGUGCUGCCUAUGCAUCAAGCCAUGUAGGUAAAGCAACAUUUGGAGUGUACAUACAUUUUAAGCAAAGUAUUCAGUUUAUUUUCUUUUUACCCCCCUCCACACCCCAUAGUCAGAAGCUUCUUUGUAAAGCUGGCAUUGAGAUCACUGAGAGUCUUUAUUUUCUGCAUAUGUUUUCAGGACAAAGACUUCUGUAUCAUCCUUGUGCCACAUUGUGUACCAGAGUUCUACCUGAUCCAGAGUUUUUUUCGAGUUGCCCCUUCCUGUACUUCCCAGCUUGGUCGUGAGCUUUACAUGUUCCACUGUGCAGGACUGCUGAAGUGAGUCAUGUGCCUCACAACAACAAGUGAAGUACUCUGAAUUACUUUUAUGGAAUAUACUUGCAUCAUCCAACUUAACAUCAGAUGCGUAUUGCUGUUUGCUCUUCCAAAUGUGCAUGGUACAGUGCAACAUCUUGCAAAUUGGUGGCCUGAACCCCAAAACAAUAUGGUUGAAUAGCACAGGUUUGUGCCCAGAAAAAUUAGUCCUUCUUUAGCAACAUUACUGCAACUGUCUCACUUCUUGUUCUGGAGUGAAUUCUAAGCCUACUGAGACGUAUCUCCACCUCCACGUAACACCGUAAUCAACAGUGUAGAAAUACUGUUAUAAUGUCAGCAAAAUAAAUUAAUUUAAAUUUUAUUUAAACAAAAUUGAGGUAAUUAGAAAUGUAAAAGCAAGUGGUCUUCUGACUGCCAGCAUUUCUGUAGUUGACUU
rnacentral:lncRNA from 7 species